rnacentral:rRNA from 1 species
CUGGCGGCGUGCCUAACACAUGCAAGUCGAACGGAGUUAAUUGAAGGAGCCCUUCGGGGCAACGGAUUUUUAACUAGUGGCGGACGGGUGAGUAACGCGUGAGUAACCUGCCUUUGAGAGGGGGAUAACGUUCUGAAAAGAACGCUAAUACCGCAUGACAUAUCGAAGCCGCAUGACUUUGAUAUCAAAGAUUUUUAUCGCUCAAAGAUGGACUCGCGUCCGAUUAGUUAGUUGGUGGGGUAACGGCCUACCAAGACGACGAUCGGUAGCCGGACUGAGAGGUUGAACGGCCACAUUGGGACUGAGACACGGCCCAGACUCCUACGGGAGGCAGCAGUGGGGGAUAUUGCGCAAUGGGGGGCCAACCCUGACGCAGCAACGCCGCGUGAAGGAUGAAGGUUUUCGGAUUGUAAACUUCUUUUGUUAGGGACGAAUUCUGACGGUACCUAACGAAUAAGCUCCGGCUAACUACGUGCCAGCCGCCGC